AGGGUUUGAUCAUGGCUCAGAACGAACGCUGGCGGCACGCCUAACACAUGCAAGUCGAGCGCUACCUUCGGGUGGAGCGGCGGACGGGUUAGUAACGCGUGGGAACGUACCCUUUUCUGCGGAAUAGCCUUUGGAAACGAAGAGUAAUACCGCAUACGCCCUUCGGGGGAAAGAUUUAUCGGUGAAGGAUCGGCCCGCGUUAGAUUAGUUAGUUGGUGGGGUAAUGGCCUACCAAGACUACGAUCUAUAGCUGGUUUGAGAGGAUGAUCAGCAACACUGGGACUGAGACACGGCCCAGACUCCUACGGGAGGCAGCAGUGGGGAAUCUUAGACAAUGGGCGAAAGCCUGAUCUAGCGAUGCCGCGUGAGUGACGAAGGCCCUAGGGUCGUAAAGCUCUUUCGCCAGGGAUGAUAAUGACAGUACCUGGUAAAGAAACCCCGGCUAACUCCGUGCCAGCAGCCGCGGUAAUACGGAGGGGGUUAGCGUUGUUCGGAAUUACUGGGCGUAAAGCGCACGUAGGCGGAUCAGAAAGUAGGGGGUGAAAUCCCAGGGCUCAACCCUGGAACUGCCUCCUAAACUAUUGGUCUAGAGUUCGAGAGAGGUGAGUGGAAUUCCAAGUGUAGAGGUGAAAUUCGUAGAUAUUUGGAGGAACACCAGUGGCGAAGGCGGCUCACUGGCUCGAUACUGACGCUGAGGUGCGAAAGUGUGGGGAGCAAACAGGAUUAGAUACCCUGGUAG
rnacentral:rRNA from 1 species